GAAAAACUGGAUCGCUUUGUAAAUGCACGACUUGGCUUGUAAGUUGAAGGAAAUUGUCUAGGGAUAGCCCUCUCCCAAAAAGUGAACUAAAACCACAACUUGGAGCCAAGAGUACUAAGAAGAUAAGAAAAUUGGGUUGUCCUAAGGGCCAGUGCCUUAAUAGCCCUGUGUGAAGCUCCAUCGCAUCAGAAGGUGGGGACACCAAGGUUCUGAGACUUCUGCAUUAGGCCAGGACACUCCGAGAGGGAAAAGCCUCUCAGAGGAGGAAGGGCUGUCUGUGAGCUGACGCAACGACAGAGGAGCAUCAGAGUGCAGGAUCCCGAGUCACGCGUGGCACCUGGUCUACUUCUCGGGAAGGUUUCACACGCUGGAAACCAGCCAUCUCAUCUUUAACAAGUGGAACUUAUCAAAGAAGAAAGGGUGGAAGAGGAGCUCCCAGGCCUGGCUUAUGAGUGUGGCCUUGAACACGUCCACAGACGUGUUGUUGUCCUGUUGAGUCUGCAGCCAGGAAGGCGGAACUCACUGCAGAGGGCAGGUGUGAACGUGCCGCUUCAGAGCCAGUGCUCUUUGAAGACGGAAAGUCAAGGACCCCAGUCCCUUCCAGGAAACAAGGACAUAAUUAUCACAACACCCCACUGGCCGGUGACCUUCAUUCCUCAGGCCCGCCCUACUCCCUCUGCUGGCACCAGCCCAGGUCCCCACAGCCUGAGCCCUGUGUCCAGACUGCUCAGAUCCAGAAGCAGCCCCCUUGCACACCCUUUGAAAGGGUUCUUAAUCUCUUUCUACUACGCUGCUCUCGCAACAUAAAUCCGCCAGCCUAGGGGCCUCUGAACCCCCGCGAAGGGAGGCCCAUCCAGGCCAGGAGAAGUCUGAGCCGCGGAGGCGUGGAAUUUAUAUUUCCUCUCACCUGCGCGUCUGUCUGUGGCCCCGACUCCAGUCUGUCGUUGGAGGUUUGAACAUAACCUCCCAGCUCCUUGCCAAGUCUGCCAUCAUCACCUCAGCCACAGAAGCUGACUCCUCAAGGCCACUGGAAUCCAGUAACAGGGACUCUCCACUUCAUUAUUAUGUUUGAAAUGUUGAAAGCAGAAGCCUAAUAAAAUGAGUUCAGAAAAAC
rnacentral:lncRNA from 1 species